rnacentral:rRNA from 1 species
GACGAGCGCUGGCGGCGUGCUUAACACAUGCAAGUCGAACGGAAAGGCCCUGCUUUUGUGGGGUGCUCGAGUGGCGAACGGGGGAGUAACACGUGAGUAACCUGCCCUUGACUUUGGGAUAACUUCAGGAAACUGGGGCUAAUACCGGAUAGGAGCUCCUGCUGCAUGGUGGGGGUUGGAAAGUUUCGGCGGUUGGGGAUGGACUCGCGGCUUAUCAGCUUGUUGGUGGGGUAGUGGCUUACCAAGGCUUUGACGGGUAGCCGGCCUGAGAGGGUGACCGGCCACAUUGGGACUGAGAUACGGCCCAGACUCCUACGGGAGGCAGCAGUGGGGAAUAUUGCACAAUGGGCGGAAGCCUGAUGCAGCAACGCCGCGUGCGGGAUGACGGCCUUCGGGUUGUAAACCGCUUUCGCCUGUGACGAAGCGUGAGUGACGGUAAUGGGUAAAGAAGCACCGGCUAACUACGUG